GAUGAACGCUGGCGGCGUGCCUAAUACAUGCAAGUCGAGCGAACAGAUGAGGAGCUUGCUCCUCUGACGUUAGCGGCGGACGGGUGAGUAACACGUGGAUAACCUACCUAUAAGACUGGGAUAACUUCGGGAAACCGGAGCUAAUACCGGAUAAUAUAUUGAACCGCAUGGUUCAAUAGUGAAAGACGGUUUUGCUGUCACUUAUAGAUGGAUCCGCGCCGCAUUAGCUAGUUGGUAAGGUAACGGCUUACCAAGGCAACGAUGCGUAGCCGACCUGAGAGGGUGAUCGGCCACACUGGAACUGAGACACGGUCCAGACUCCUACGGGAGGCAGCAGUAGGGAAUCUUCCGCAAUGGGCGAAAGCCUGACGGAGCAACGCCGCGUGAGUGAGGAAGGUCUGCGGAUCGUAAAACUCUGUUAUUAGGGAAGAACAAAUGUGUAAGUAACUAUGCACGUCUUGACGGUACCUAAUCAGAAAGCCACGGCUAACUACGU
rnacentral:rRNA from 1 species